rnacentral:rRNA from 1 species
UGGGGAAUCUUGGACAAUGGGGGCAACCCUGAUCCAGCCAUGCCGCGUGAGUGAUGAAGGCCCUAGGGUCGUAAAGCUCUUUCGCCAGGGAUGAUAAUGACAGUACCUGGUAAAGAAACCCCGGCUAACUCCGUGCCAGCAGCCGCGGUAAUACGGAGGGGGUUAGCGUUGUUCGGAAUUACUGGGCGUAAAGCGCACGUAGGCGGAUCAGAAAGUUGGGGGUGAAAUCCCGGGGCUCAACCCCGGAACUGCCUCCAAAACUAUUGGUCUAGAGUUCGAGAGAGGUGAGUGGAAUUCCGAGUGUAGAGGUGAAAUUCGUAGAUAUUCGGAGGAACACCAGUGGCGAAGGCGGCUCACUGGCUCGAUACUGACGCUGAGGUGCGAAAGUGUGGGGAGCAAACAGGAUUAGAUACCCGUGUAGUCC